AUGACACCACUCCCACUGCAACCAUGGAGACCAGUUUAUGGGAGGCAGUGUUUGUUGUUGUUUUUUAAUUUCCCCUCCUUCCCUCCCUCCCUCCCUUCUUCCUCUCUUUCCCGCCUUCUUUCUUCUCUCCCUCCUUCUCUUCCUUCCUUCCUCCCUCUCCCCCUCCAUCUUUCUCUUCCUCCUUCCCUCCCUCCUUUUUUCUUCCUCCCUCCUUUUCUUCCUUCCUUCCCUCCCUCCCUUCUUUCAUCUUUUUUUGUAGAAAACAUCAGCCUAACCCAUUCCCACCUGUCAGGAACCAUCCCCUGGCCUUUCAGCUCCUUCCCAGAACUAUUUGGCAACUGGACAUCCUGCAGGAGAAUCAGAGGUGGGAAAGCAAAGAGACUGAACAUCUGUUACCUAAGGAAGAAGCCAGCAGUCAGGAUGAAAUCUGGAACUGCUGAGCUGGUGUGGGAGCCACUGACCUGGUGUCUAGGGAGGCAAAGCUGCCCUUGUUACAAAAUGGUACCUGGAUGGGAGAGUACAGCCUGGUUCUCUUUCCAUUACAUGCCCCCAACACAGGUUUACUGGGAAGAGAACAUGAGGUAAGAUGGCUUUGCUCCUCCUCUUUCUCUGAGAUGCUUUGGUUUGUGGACAUGGAGCCUGGCUAGUCUCGGUGCCCAUCUGCAGAUAAGGGGGGGAAGACUUGCAGCCCUGGUAUAGACAGCAGGACAUCUCUGGAGGCACUCAGUGCAGAGGGUCAGGUGAAACCAGCUAUGGCCCCACUUCACAAUGACUCAUUAAUUAGGGGGUGAAAAAUAGGUCAGAUUUCCAUUUCAAAGUAGAGUGGCAUGCAGAAAUUCAAUACUAUGCAAAUCAGAAUUUUGUACGACAAAACAGUAUCUUUCCAUGUAAGUUUGGUUGGACAGUUGUGGUAAUAUAAAUGCUAUUAGUGAGUACACUGUCUUAGCCCUGAGGUAUGACUUAAUGGUCCCAGGUACACAAAAUUUCUAUCAGUCAUUUAGUGAUAUAUUUUUUUUUUAAGAAAAGCAAAUGUGGACCAUUACUGCUAUGGCCCUACAUUCAUGCUGACAUGCUUUGCAAGAAAUCUCAUUGCAUUAUUUAUUUCAGAGUCAAAGUGCUUACUUUAUGGAGAAGGUAAAAUUUCACCUGUAGGAAAAUUGGCACAAUUUCUUAUUUUAACAUCCUCAGUGCCAAGCAUUAAAAAAGGCCCUUUCUGUUUGGGUAAUUUUCCGCAGCAGGAACUUUAAAUUAUUUACAGCUUCUCUUAUCUGAAACCAGAGGAAACACACUGUUUUCCAUGCCACGAUUUAUACUGUGAACUGUUUGUAGGAAAAAAAAGUGGGGGCGGGGAGUAAAUUACAGAUGUGAGCAAGAAUCAGAGACAGAGCAAAGGAUUGUCACAAAACCAUGGUGUCUUUCUCUUGUGGAAGCUGAGGUGGGUCUAAGGGACCCUGGGAGGGCAGGGAACAUCAAGAUGGUUAGAAAUUGCCUUGUUUUGGGGAGCUUCUGCAGUGGUUCCCAAAUAAGCAACAGUGAAUGACCAAAAGCUGGAAUGAAAUGAGCAAAACCUGGGUGGGUAAUUGGAGGCACUGCUAGACAGAGACCUUGAUCCCCGGGUCAAGAAGAUCCCCUGGAGUAGGAAAUGUCAACAGUUCCAUGAACAGAGGAGGCUAGUGGGCUAUAGUCAGUCACAAAGAGUCUGACAUGACCAAGCACGAGUUCUAGCUAGCUAGAUAGAGACCAGGGCUGGUGGCUCAGGUUGUAGCAAUAAGGCUUGGCUGUGUCUUAUGGGAAGUGUCAGCGAAGUAUACUGGUGGACAGAGCAUCUGUGUUCCUGGAGAGGCCAGAGGCAUUUUCCCUUCCUCCCUUCUCAGCCUUUAGCCUUCCUCAGCCUUCUUAUCACACUCCCUUCCUACUGAAUUGCGCUAUCCUGAGGCAUCCUCUGAUUAGUGUUGCCAGAUGUUCCUGGUCUUGGUCCCCUCCUCUGAUUAAGAAUUUUACAUCUUGGUUUUGAACUGAUCUCCUGUCAGUUUAAUUAGUGAGGGUGAGUCUGUCGAGCCUGAUUUUCUGGACCUGUAUGGUCAGAAUCACACCUAAAAACUGAGAGAGCAGACUCUUUGCAGUUCUCCUGUGCCCUCCUUCUGCUUCUAUUAAUUGACUCAGUUCAACUAAAUACAACAGUAACAACAGGGGUUUAUACUGAUUAAGCUGCAUUAUGAUGAGUAUCAAAAGGGUUGUCUCCCUUGAUUCUUAGCUCAAUGAAAUACAUAGACUAACACACAUUUUGCAGCUAGAGAAAUUGAAGCUCACACAGGUAGGGAGAGGUGUUGGCAGGAUUCACAUGAGACACCUGCCUGCAGAAAACAACUUCCCACCUCAGAAACCACCUGUGAUGCUGAGGAGCAAGUGAGCCCUCCUCACUGGACCUCAUCAUGUGAUGUCGUUCAGGAGGCUCUGCCUCACCAUCCGUUUAACCUACUAUUACCAACUGUGAUACUGUUGUUAAUAACAGAACAUGUAUUGCUGUGUUGUGCUCAGUCAUGUCUGAUUCUGUGAUCCCAUGGACUGUAGCCUGCCAGGCUCCUCUGUCCAUGGAAUUUCCCAGGAAAGAAUACUGGAGUAGGUGUCCAUUUCCUCCUCCAGGGGAUUUCUCGACUCAGGGAUCAAACCCAUGUCUCCUGUAUCUCCUGCUUUGGCAGGUGGAUUCUUUACCACUGAGCCACUUGGGAAACCUGAACAUUUAUUGAGUAUGUUAUAAUUUUCAAAACGUUUCCUCAUCAUGCUCUCUUUUGAACCUCACAACAGGUACAGGACAAAUGUUUUCACCUUCUUUUAUGGUAGAAUAGCAUAACUCAGGAGUGUAUGCCUAAGGUUACCAGCCAAAUGAGCAAAGAAUGAAACAGAGCCCUCUGAUCAUGAGGCCUGACCAUGUUGCCCUCCCUCAUAAGCCCACCAUACCUCUCCUGUUCCAAGACUUCUGUUUCCAAUCACAACAGUCAUUCAUUAAAUUUUGGCAACAAUGAGUGUCAGGGUGUCAGGGCUUCAGGUGAAGGGACCACAAUGAUGGGCAGCCAGGGAGCAGAAGGGGUCAUAUUAUCUUUUCAUUUCUGUGGCAGUCUACACCCCAACCAGGAGACACGCUAAGGCUCAGGGCAAGGAAGGUUUGAGUCUUGAAAAAAGUUGCCCCUGAGAAGGCUGGGCACAAUUUCCUAGCGAUUGUGCUAGGGGAGAACAGAGAGAUUCUUUAAUCAGAGAAGGACUGAUACAGAAGACCCGUCCCAUUAAGUCAAAGGCAGUGUAGAGACUGGCAAGUGGUGAGGAGAAGCACAAAGCAAACUGGAGAUAAGUGCCACGUGCUUGAGCAACAGGAGCUUCAUUGUGAUUGCUGUUGUGAUAAGAGAGUCUUUGUCUAAAUAACAGCUGUUUAGACAUAGGGUGGAAUGAAGAAACAGCUUGGGAGGCCUUGGAGGUCCUGCCAACAGUGAACUUUGGAGUCAUCAGAAUUCUACUGCAUUACAUACUGGAUCUGUAAUCUGGACCAAGGAGCUUAUCCCUCUUUGCUCCAAGUUGCCCAACUGAAAAACAGGAAUAACACUUCAUUCAUGACAAUGUUCUGAGAAUUAAAUGUGAUGACAUACACAGACAGCCUCACAGAGGAUCUGGCACACACUGGAGCAUCAGUCCAUGCUAUUUCCUGUCUUUCUUGUCUCUUCUUCCACACCGUGAAUGAGGACCAUGGCUCCAUCUCAUGGGAUAAAUGACUUAGUCCAAACCCAACAGUUGGCACGUUCAGAAAUCUGCCUAGUAGUGAUCCAGUCCAGGCAAGGAGAAAUAUAUCUUUCCUUUGAGAAGCUUCUGGUCUUCAUUGGGUGGGGAGAAGCAUAUGCUAAAAUAACUAAGCCACAUUCAAUCCACAGGGUGACAAAGAGUCAGACAUGACUGAGCAAUUCACACGUUCAAAUAUAAACUGAAUCACUUUGUUGUACACCUGAAACUAACACAAUUUUAUAAAUUAACUAUACUUCAAUAAACAAAUGGAAUAAAAUAGAAAGCCCA
rnacentral:lncRNA from 1 species